CUUGUGAUGUCCUUAAAAAUCAUAUUUCCUUACAAACAAUGAAAAAGAAAAAAUCCUGUUUCUCACUUUCUUCCAUCUUUUCUUUUUUAUAUAUCACAUUACAGUUAGACUAAUGUAGCAUGGUUGAAUUCUAAUUCCUCCCUACGUACUCUGUGGAAGAGAAACCAGGUUUCUCACCUGUCUUGUAAUGAACAGCUAAGUUUUGUAACAAAGAGAAGGAAGUUACUGGCAACAAUUUUUGGACUUGAUCUUUGGAUAAUAGAUGCUGAAUACUUAUCAGUGUCCAAUGGGAGAUAUAUUUUAGAUGGUUUAGAGAUUUAUUUUAGCUGGUGGCAGUGUCAGUCAUCUAAAUGACUCACGUGCUACAUUCCUACACGCUGUGUUUAACGUGUGUGAGUAUAAAUGGUUACCAGAAGUACUGGAGGUGGCUAGACAGUUUAGAUCAGUGCAGGUUAGGUGAUGGUGUGCUGGAGAGGAGCUCUGCAGAGAAGGCCCUCUGCGUCCUGGUGGGCAACAGGUUGUCCAUGGGCCAGCAGCAUGCCCUAGUGGCCAUGAAGGCCAACGGUACCCUGGGGUGUACUAAAAAGAGAGUAGCCAGCAGGUCCAGGGAUGUGAUCCUCCCUGCUCCACUCUGCCCUGAUGAGGCAACAUCUGGAGUGCGGUGUCUAUCUGUGGGCUUCUCAGUCCAAGGACAGGGAUCUCCUAGAAGGAGUCCAGCAGAGUGGUAAAGACCAUUGGGGGCCUGGACCACCUCCCGGAUAAGGAAAGCCUGAGAGAUCUCUUCAUUCUGAAGAAGGCUAAGAGCAACUCUCCUAACUGCUUAUAAAAAUCUAAAGUGCAAGAGUCAAGCUGAUGGAGUUGGACUGUUCUCGGUGCAGUUAAGCAAGAGAAAAAAAGAGGCAACAGGCAGAAACUGGAACACAGGAAGUUCCACAUUAACAUGAGGAAGAAUUUCUUUCCUGUCAGAACGAUGGAGCGCUGGAACACGCUGCACAGAGUUCAGGUAGUCUCCUUCUCUGGAGAUAGUCAGGACCUACCUGAAUGCCUACUUACGUGACUUUGUAUGGGAACUGGUGAGUCACAGCUUGAGCCACUGAUUGAUCAACUGAGGAAAGGACUGAGUCAGCCACAGGUGAAGGCAAUUCACUUGUGUGACUGGAAGGGGUGGUGCCUGGCUGCACCCCUCCUGGAGCCCAUUUAAGUGCUGACUGCCAGUGGUGAAGGGUCUCUUUCUGGAGAUUCCUCCUCUGUGGAGUAUUUCCUGCAAAGCUCGAUCUUCAGGUUCAGGUGAGCAUUCGUUCCAUUUGUUUCUUUUCCCAUUUUCACCAUGGUAAUCUUUCCAGCUGUAACACCAACUUUAACAGGCUUGUUGAAGGGAACCUUCUUUUAUGAGAGGAGUUGGACUUGGUGGUCUCUAAGAGGUCUCCUUCCACCCCUACAGUUCUGUGAUUCCAUGAAAUUAGGGCUUCAGUCUCCUUUAUAGCAUGAACUGAACAACAGGAUCUCAGUGUUGCUAAGUUUGUUGUGGUUAUGUUUUCUCAAGAGAAACCUUUUGGGAGGAGCAGAUGUAGGACUUCCACGCAGAGUUAACAUCCUUGCUACUGACACAUUUUCACGUCUUUUCUGGAAUAGCUUCUGAUGAAUCAGAAACAUUUAGUUUGGUCUUUGAUCCGGUAGUAUUUUAAGUGAGGAAGAAAAUGAAAAGGGAUUAACGGCUGUGAAUUCUAGCUGCUCAAUAUGCAAGAAAUGAUGCAGUAUUAUGCCUUCUAAGUGGUCCUCCUUCUUCUGGUUACACAUCUUCCUGAAAACAGUAGACUGACCUUCUAUCUGGAUUGUCAGGUGAGAAAGCCCUUCAGAGAAAAAAACCCUUCCUUAGAUGCAGCUGUGGCAUCUCUGCCACUGAACUUCCAUGUGCACAAGCUUGGAGCCAUGACCCUGGCAAGCCUGUAUCAGCAUCUGAACAUUCUCUCAGUGAAGACCCUUUUCUCAUACGCAACCUGAACCUCCCCUGAUGAAACUUCUGGCCAUUUCCUUGGGUGACAUGGACAGUGGUAUCAAAUGCACCCUCAGCAAAUUUGCAGAGGACACCAAACUGAGUGGUGCAGAUGACAUGCUAGAGGAAAGAAAUGCCAUCCAGAGGGACCUUGACAGGCUUCAGAGUCUUCUAUAAGAGGAACACUUAAUUCCCACCAAGCUGAUCCAAAGCUGAACCGUGUGAAUGUCUUGGGAUUAAAGAGAAAGAGAGGACAACCAGUCAUGCUAAAGACUGAGACAUAGGAAAAGCAGAGGUCUGUAUGUUGGAGGAGAGGUAAGAGAAGAGUCCAUCUCUUUGUGCCCAUGUCUGCAUCUGCCAGGGGAAACUAAGGAAGAAUGGAAGUACCACUUCCUACCACGUACUCUGAUAUCACAGUACUUUACAGCCUGAAGUCUUUUAAAAUUUUGUGAUGGACUGUGUGGAAAUUUAUCCCACUGGGUAACCCAUCCGUGUCAUAUUCUAAUCCUUAUGUUUGUAACCUAUUUCUGCUACCUCCCAUCUGCCUUUUCUUUGAAGCUUAUAAUUUACAUUGUGUUUGUGCCACCACCCACAUUCUGCCUCACGACAGUGAACAGGAAAGAGUGCUUCCUGUAAAUACUGGGAGAUACCCAACCCUAAUGACCAUAAAGAGCACUGGGGCAAGCACAUUCAGAAGUACCAGCAGUUCUGUAUGUACCAUGUUGCUCUAGGCAUUCCUCCUGAUCACUAGAACAAGAAAAUGUAUAAUUUGGAAAGUUGAGGUUGUAUGUAUGUCAUUCUGAAAUUGUUUAUUUAUUUCCAUGGAAACUACAGCAGAUACAAAGAGCACAAUAACACUAUUUGAUCGAGCAAAUUCUCAGCUACAAAACACUGCUUUUCCAACAUAGUCACCACCAUUAGCUGUGCAUUUUCACCAGUGACGAACAAGAGCCUGCAUGCUGCUCUUAUAAAAAUCUGCUGAAAUGCACCACCCACCACCUCACUGUGCACACAUCUACAGUUUGUCUCCAUAAACAUUCAGCAAAUGUAGAUGGAUGACAGUGGAUGCCAUUUUCUCUUCACGAAGAAAUUCAGUUCCACACUUCUGCUUCAUAUGCACUUCUGCAUCAGAUGUUGUUUUGUCAGACUGCCCCUCUGCUGCCAUCUGUUGCACAGCAGCAAAAUACAAUAGAAUAUUGGUGGGAAGGUUCAACCUCUACUGUUACACAACCAACAUCCACUUCUGAUGUCAUGGAUCUACAUAAUAAAUUAGGAGGCAUUGUUUUCGGAGCAACUUUCCUAAUUACUGUUACAACAAGCAAUCUUUUGUAUCAUAUGCUAACUGCACACAUAAUCAGAUGUAUUUUCAAUAUAUCUAUGUGUCUAUGCAAGACAAGGAACAGUGGACUAAGCUUGUUCUCAACACUGCAAUUCAUAGGCAUAUAAAUUCUUUGAAACAUUACUAAAAUAAACAUGAAAUUACCUACUUGAGGAGCCUGGGCAUAGCAAAAAAACAUGGGUAAUGAUACAGAAAGUAGAGUUUAUCCUUAUCUACUAACUUAUUUCCAUCAGUGUGUAGUGUAUCUUUAUUACUUCAGAUAAGUGUCCUACUUCACGUUAGAGAAUCUCAUAUGCUUUUGUAAGUACUACAGUAUAAAUCAUACUAAUGCAUAUUCUACUUUGUUAGUAAGCUGUAACAUCUAAUGAAUGAAAAACAGUGUAAUUAACAAGCAAAGCGCUUUUCCACACAGGAACAGAGGUGGGUGGGCUUUCAAGUAGCAUGGGGGAAGAAUGCUGUGCCCAAUUUGCAUCCCAAGCACGGGGAGAGGCAUUGGAGGUUCACCCCACGGAGCAGCAGAUUUUCUUCUAAGAAAGUACAGAAGCUUCUCUAGCCAGGCUUCCUGGCCAGCUUCAUCUUAUUUUGUGUAACCAGGUCUCUCCUCUUUCACAGCUGCUGCCCUGGAGCAGCAGGGUGCUGUGUACCCCACACAGCCUGUGGUUGCAAGAAGCAUAAAACCCAUCUUCGCCCACACAAAGACAGAGUUAGACAGAGGGGGAUAUGUCCAGAUGCUUCUCCCAGGGAAACUAACAGAAAAGAAAGAAAGAGUCACCUCUGCUUGCCCUCCUGCGUUCUUUGUGUUGUCCUCCCACAAAUGCAUUUCCUGAGUUUCACCCACACCAGAAACAGCUUUCUCAUUCUCCUAACACAAUUCCAGUUUCUUACUAAAUCUGUCUUCUAUAUCCACAUUUUUUCAGGACAUUUACAACAGGCAGACACCUCCAUUCACAAAUCUCUACAAAACAGCAUUUUCAGGAGCUAGAACAGCCUAACAUUUGUAUUAUAUGUGUAUGACACAGAUUCUAGGAGACCUUUUUUCUCUUCGUUUUCUAAUAUUUCAAGCCAUCUUUUCUCCAUUUCAUUUCUAAUUCUGUCACAAUGUGUUGAUUGCAAAGUGCUUGCAGUAUGAACCUGCCCUUUUGCAUUUACAUGUGUUAAAAAUGCUGUGUAGAAACAAUAGCAUCCUUUGACUUCAUUGUGACUAAAAUUGAACCCUUAGUUUUUAAAAUAAAACUAUUUCCUCAUUUUAAGUGACUCAAGUGAUUUAAUUUUGUCCAGAUGUGGUGCAUGCAGUUUGGACUUACAAAUCCAAACAUUCAUUUUGAUCUAUUUCUGUAGGAUUGACA
ensembl:lncRNA